UUACCUGGGUUUGAACUGCUGGGGACCGCCUCAGAGAUGAGGUUUUCCCUUCGGGGACUCCAGUAGAGGUGCUGCAUGGCUGUCCUCAGCUCGUGCCGUGAGGUGUUGGGUUAAGUCCCGCAACGAGCGCAACCCUUGUUCCUAGUUCCAGCGGUUCGGCCGGGGACUCUAGGAAGACUGCCGGUGACAAACCGGAGGAAGGGGGGGAGGACGUCAAGUCAUCAUGGCCUUUAUGUCCAGGGCUACACACGUACUACAAUGGUCGGUACAAAGGGCUGCGAACCCCCGGGGGGGAGCCAAUCCCAAAAACCCGGCCUCAUUUCGGAUUGCAGUCUGCAACUCCCUGCAUGAAGGGGAAUCGCUAAUAAUCCCGCAUCAACAUGGCGCGGUGAAUACGUUCCCGGGU
rnacentral:rRNA from 1 species